rnacentral:tRNA from 1 species
GCCCCCGUAGCUCAGUGGAGAGAGCAGCUGCCUUCUAAGCAGUCGGUCGCAGGUUCGAAUCCUGCCGGGGGCG